GAUGAACGCUGGCGGCGUGCUUAACACAUGCAAGUCGAACGAAACACCUUAUCUGAUUUUCUUCGGAACUGAAGAUUUGGUGAUUGAGUGGCGGACGGGUGAGUAACGCGUGGGUAACCUGCCCUGUACAGGGGGAUAACAGUCAGAAAUGACUGCUAAUACCGCAUAAGACCACGGCACCGCAUGGUGCAGGGGUAAAAACUCCGGUGGUACAGGAUGGACCCGCGUCUGAUUAGCUGGUUGGUGAGGUAACGGCUCACCAAGGCGACGAUCAGUAGCCGGCUUGAGAGAGUGAACGGCCACAUUGGGACUGAGACACGGCCCAAACUCCUACGGGAGGCAGCAGUGGGGAAUAUUGCACAAUGGGGGAAACCCUGAUGCAGCGACGCCGCGUGAGUGAAGAAGUAUCUCGGUAUGUAAAGCUCUAUCAGCAGGGAAGAAAAUGACGGUACCUGACUAAGAAGC
rnacentral:rRNA from 1 species